AGAGGGGCCGAUUGAUUUGUUGGCGAGCGCGGCCUAUGGCCCAGGGACGCAACGUCCCGCUCGAUUCGAGCAGGGAGGGAGGAGAACGCCCCAGACGCUCACCACGAGCGCUUGGAGUUGGCACGUUGGCACCGAGGCUGGAUACCCGAUAGGCACUUUCACGGCCUCAGAGCCGUCGUUCCAGACGGGAAUCCACCACCUCGGGAGUGCGUCAGCCUCCAUUUGAGCCUGCGGAUACGGUGCGGGGGCUUGUCGUCGUCACAGGCGUCGACUCCCCUGAGAUGCUGCGGCGUCCGCCACAUGUCCUGCGACAAGGCACCCUGUGAGCCGGCACGGGAGCGUACCUCGACGUCCAGUCCCCGAGGGGUUCGACCCCCCCAGCGGACCCGGGCGCGGCGCGUCUCCGUAAGGUGCCGGCUCGGAAUGAGUGAGAACCUGCACAGGAACUUGGGAUCUGCCUGCGCAGAACGUCGGUGUCUCGCCCGUCCUUGGGCGCUUGACUCUGGCGGGCUGCCUUGCCUUAAGUUGCCCCCCGGCCAGCGUGACGCUGAAACAAAGCCGCAAGUCGAUCGGCUCAUCAAACCCCUACCCUUGUCUAUGAGCACCGUACGUUUCCUCGGCAGGUCCGCCUGCCGAUGGACCAAACCGAAACCUCUUCUAGAAACCAGUACAGACCUAGUAUAAGCAAAUGAAUCAAAACUUUCAACAAUGGAUCUCUUGGCUCUGGCAUCGAUGAAGAACGCAGCGAAAUGCGAUAAGUAGUGUGAAUUGCAGAAUUCAGUGAAUCAUCGAAUCUUUGAACGCACAUUGCGCCCUUUGGUACUCCGAAGGGCAUGCCUGUUCGAGCGUCGUCUAAACCAUUCAAGCCACGGCUUGGUGUUGGGCGUUUGUCCCGCCUCUGUGCGUGGACUCGCCUUGAAAUCAUCGGCGCCCCGUGAAGUUGGGUCGGCAGCGAUAAAGCGUAAAGCAGCAGCUACCGGUCCGCCACGUGGGCUUCCGUAAGCUCAGGCCCAUCCCCCCGGGACGGGCCUCUCCUUUUGACCUCGGAUCAGGUAGGGAUACCCGCUGAACUUAAGCAUAUCAAUAAGCGGAGGAAAAGAAACCAACAGGGAUUGCCCUAGUAACGGCGAGUGAAGCGGCAACAGCUCAAAUUUGAAAUCUGGCUCCUCUGGGGUCCGAGUUGUAAUUUGCAGAGGGUGCUUCGGCGUUGGCGCUGGUCUAAGUUCCUUGGAACAGGACGUCACAGAGGGUGAGAACCCCGUACGUGGCCGUCUGCCUUCGCCGUGUGAAGCCCCUUCGACGAGUCGAGUUGUUUGAGAAUGCAGCUCUAAAUGGGAGGUAAAUUUCUUCUAAAGCUAAAUACCGGCCAGAGACCGAUAGCGCACAAGUAGAGUGAUCGAAAGAUGAAAAGCACUUUGGAAAGAGAGUCAAAAAGCACGUGAAAUUGUUGAAAGGGAAGCGCUUGCAGCCAGACUUGCCUGCGGUUGCUCACCCGGGCCCCGGCCCGGGGCACUCUUCCGCGGGCAGGCCAGCAUCAGUUCGGGCGGUCGGAUAAAGGCCCUGGGAAUGUAGCUCCCCUCGGGGAGUGUUAUAGCCCAGGGUGGAAUGCGGCCAGCCCGGACUGAGGUCCGCGC
rnacentral:rRNA from 1 species